CCUUAAAUCUGCAUCUAGGGCAAGCUGGGGCUUCAUAUUAAAAAUAAUGUAUAAUAAAAUAGGUAUACAUCUAUAAAGCAUGAUAGGCAAAUUCAAAAUGAGAAGCCAUUUUUUCCAUGUGGGAACUACUUUCAUCAUGUUCAUAAAAAGUAUGGAGGACCACACCUGUAAAGAUACUAUUGGACAUACACAUACCAUUUUCAACAUACAGAUAGCAUGGCAUUAAAAUUAUAACAAAUUCAGUGCUAAAAAUAUUUAUUAUAAUAAAUUUCACUUAAUUCAAUAACAGGAUGUAAAAAUAUAUCAUAUCACAAGUAAAAAAGGGGGGAUUGACUAACCAUAAGGUAAAAUUUAUGUUAGAUCAAAUACAUCUAUUCUCUGGUUCUCUCUUUUUUUCUUAGAUAGAAAAUUGAACAUUGAGUUUUGAUCUGUACUUUUUCAGUUUCCUCUCCUGAAUAAAUGGAAGAAUUAAAAAAAAAACCAACAUUACUAUCUUUUUCUUCAAUGAAUAAAAAUAAAAACAUAAAUUCAUUUUUUCAAAUUAGUUCAACAAGUUUUCAGACUGAUUUAAAUUUUGUUUGCAAGGCUAUAUAGAAAUGAGGGAUACCCAUAUAUUUUUUGGAAUCCUGGUUAUCAAAACAGAAAGGAAAAAAUAUACAUGUAGAGUGACAUACAGGUACAAGAUUGUAAUGGAAAAGAAAAAUUCAC
rnacentral:lncRNA from 1 species